CAUGACUAAAUUUGCUCCUGUCCAUCAACUGGGUCAUAUAUAGUUCAUUUCAAGAGAGACAGACACGGCUGCAAGGAAAUGUGGAGCGGUUCAAUGCCUUGUGCUGCUCGGCCGUUUCCCUCUCUCUCUCUCUCUCUCUCUCUCUCUCUCUCCCCCUUCCUCUCUCUCCCCUCUCUCUCUCUGUCUCUCUCGCUCCCCCCUCUCUCUCUCUCUCGCUCGCUCGCUCUCUCUCUUUGACCCACUGAUAUUUGCGAACAUAACAAAUGGCCAAGUUCCGCGCGGAGGGGCCAGGGAGCUCCGCGCAGGGAGGCAGAGGAUCAGAGAGGUGAACGGAGAGAGAGAGAGAGAGAGAGAGGGAGGGAAGGAGCCGCGGAGGGGGAGAGAGGGCGAGACGGCUCCCAUUCUUCUCAUAUCUCGCUCCAACUUUUGUGCGCGCGCGACCCGGGGAAGUUACUCUUCCACCCAGUGAGCCACAUCGGCAGCAGCGGCAACUUUUUUCCUCUCCUUUUUUAUUUUUUGGUUUCGUGCUUUUUUUUUUUUCCUCCCUCCCCCCCUCCGGUCUGAUUUUUCUGACAGAUCGCCCCUCGCACGAAACGCGGCCGGCGUGACGCGUGGACAAGUUCUCGGGAGUUAUUUCUCGCUCUCCGUCAGGGCUGGCUCCUGGGACGGGCUCCGGACAUAAGCAGCCACUCACGGUGAGGAAAACUGCUCUGGGCACAGCAAGCCAAGACUCUCAUCAGGCAAGAGGAAUGUCUUCACAACCACAGAGGAAGCUAAUGAUGGUAUUCACUACAGUGGCAAGGAUUGGAGCUUAGACAACCACCAUGCACUGAUAAUCCUGGCUUGAUGGCUUCUUACACAAUCAGGCCUGAACUGUACCUGCAUAUAUACGACACAGCACUCGUCCAGUGAGCAUUGAGGGGGGAUGUGGCUAAAAAAGUGAGGGUCAACUGACAGCAUAGUCUGUCUACAGAUAUGGUGGGUUUGCAAUCAGCCCCCCAGGUAUUGGAGGUUUGCAGGCCAAAGCUGGGCUGAGAACCCAGGGCCAGUACUUCUGCGGUUAAAGGUGUGCCUUGCCACAGCUGUAAGAACUACACCGGCAGCAGCAGAGCCAAAAUGGCGUCUGCAGCACCGAGCACAGCAUGCGUUCCGGCGCAUUGCAGCCAGGGUGCUGCACCACGGCAAAGUCCGAGCUCUCCCCGGUGACUUCAGCGAACAUUCAACGCUGUCGGUGAGUUUGCGCUUCUGACCGAAACCAUCGACCGUUGACUGUACCCUGAGGGUGACCGUUUCACAACCGCGUUGCUAGCGAGGAACCUCAAUACGGGCAAAAAUAAACUCAUGAACGCGUGCAGGCUCACCACUGCGAACACAUACUGCGCCUCAAUCGGAGCACGUUCCCUCACAGCUGUGAGCUUCAAAUCGUAACCAGAGGAAGGGAGGGAGAGCUGCCAGUCAGAGAGAGGGCUCCCAUUUCAGUUGCCUCUUCACAAACCAUAAUGGCUGCAAUAAACAUUCAUUGCUGUCGGUGGGUUUUACAUGAAAUCAACUCACUGAUCAAUGAAUGCAAACUGCGGUGCAAACUCCUCGAGGCCCGUGACGGAAGCAUCCAUCGCCCGCGGCGACGGCGGACGGCCAGCCCGCCGCCUGCAGUGAACCGAGUCCCGAAGCGAACCCCGUCGAGUUUUACAACUUUAACUUUCUGAAUCGUGUGAACCACCCAACUGGAACACGGUCGCGAGCGUUUAACCAAACAACGCACUUCCGUCCUUUUUUACCACCAUAUUUAUCGGGGAACAGCCCGACUUUCAGUAGACCUCAAAUAAAAAGAAAUGAAAAAUGAAACGAUCAGCAUGUUCCCAUAGUUUUAAAAAAGCCACCUCUCUUUUUUUAAUUGAAAGGCAUACAGUCAUGUGGAAACACGCUAACUGUAAUUGGCCAGUUAAGUUUUGUAACCAUGCUGGGAAAUUUUUAACACACUGACAUUUUCCAGUCAUUCCAGACCAAAAGCGCAUUUAAACAUUUUUAUUUUUUUUUAUUCCUUUUUCCACUUAUACAGUGGAAAGUGUGCGACGGCCCAGUGAACACCAGGCCACAUUUAGUCCCAGUCACUGUCUGCCAAAAAAAGGUUUGUUUUGGGAACAUAAGGCUGAAAGUAGCCUACGUGUAGGGUUUGUUGUUCGAAAGAGGAACUGUCAAGGUUUCAUUUCCACUUGCUUGUCAACAUGAUUGUUUGAUUGCUGAGAAGACAAACCCAGAACACUGAGGAUUUGAAAGACCUUUCCUUCAACGCACCGGCAGACGGUGAACUUAUAAGGUGAAAGUCUCUGCCAAUGGCGCAGAGCUAGCUAGCUAGCUAGCUCCCCCCGCGCGGAGCUCCGCGCCGCACAGCUGAGAUCUGUCUGACAGCUGCGCUGGGAGGAAAAAAAAAAAAACCGGUCGCAACCCCGCACUUCAGAGAGCCAAUAAAACCCGAGUGUUCCCGCUGCCAGCACGGAAAAACGAUCCAAACAACGGUAAGAGCGCACAUCUGCUGCAGUGCGCUCCGUUUCAGCAAACGCGCGGAAAAGCCUUCACAUGAGCGUGUCUCAAGUUGCCUUUUUUCCCUCUUUUUUUUCUUUUUUGGGGGGGGGGGAGAAUGGGUCAAGGACGCUGGAGUUUGUGCUUCUGUUCACAGUCUCAGAAGUGUUCAGUUCACCAGCUUGGUGUCUUUAUGGGCCACUGCCACCCUGACUCCUUCUAGACCAGGGACAGGGCAGUAAACUGUUAAUAUAGAGUUGUAGGGCACAUUACAGAAAUAUCUGGAAAUCGCUGGAACAAUAUUGUAUUUUGCAACACAAAAAAAAGAAGAAAAAAAACACUUUCAAAAACACGACACAGAACUACGUCGAUGAAAAAGCAUUAUCGCAGCAGUGCCACCACACAGCACGCCCUAAAAUGAGCGUGAUUAACAAAGAAGGAAGAAAAGAAUCAAUAAGCAUUAAUCUUACUGUAAGAAAAUGCCACGCAAAAAAGAACUGCGUUUAUAAGCACCGUACACGGGGGGGGGGGGGGGGGGCAAUAAAGCUCCAGGUGAUAAAUGUCCUUCCAGAGUUCAGUACAGCCCAUGCCUGUGGGAGACUGCCAGCACACCAGGCUAUGCGUGAUUCCACCUUAUCAGAGCGCAUUCAUUCCUCACACCCAGCGAUGACAUUACAAACACUACCAUAGGCGUAUUUCAUCACAGCCAUUUUGCUGCACGUGAAAACCUUUUUUUAAAGCCCGUCAGGCUGGUCCGUGUUUUCAGUUCUUUUAUUUACUUUGUAUUAUGUGUCUAGAGAUAUCAACCCACAUUCUUUUAUCCAUUCAGUAGUGUGUUCACAUAUUUUAUGCACAAAUUUAUUUUCCUUGUUAUUGUAAGCUUCUAGAAUGAAAUGAUCGCUUUCAUAAUGUAAUUGGCUCAAUAAAGUUGCCCUCAAAUAUGGUCAUUA